UCGGCUGUGCCGCCGCCGCUCCGCGCCGGCCCGCAGACGCCAGGCCCGUCCGCCAGUUCCGCUCCAGGGCGUGCGGGUGUGAGAGCAGCCACUGAGAGACGCCCAAUUCUCAGGCUGGGACUCGGAUCCUUCGGCCACGGACCCAGAGGCACCCAGGAGCCCGAGGAAACAGCACCCCUCCCGUCAGCACCCAGGGCAGCGCAAGUCGUUUCUCAAUUAGCCAGAGAGCGCGUGUUCGGACUCAGCCACCAUUUACUGACCCUUCGACGUGCAGGCCCAGCAUUCAGGACCCACGGCAGCGAGAGGGGGCCCCGCUGCGGGGAGAAGCCGACCUCUGCCCCGGUCACAAUCAAGUCACUUUUAGACUGUGGAUGAGAAAUCGCUGAUUUCUGCGGGAGAGAGAGCCAGGAGCUCAACCUGCAGCCCGCUGGCCGCGUGCAGCCCAGGACGGCUACGAACGCGGCCCCACACACAAUCAUACAUUUACUGAAAACCUGUUUUUUUUAGCCCUGGCUGGCGUAGCUCAGUGCACUGAGCGCGGGCUGUGAACCAAAGUGUCACAGGUUCGAUUCCCAGUCAGGGCACUUGCCUGGGUUGCAGGCCAU